AUUCCUCAGUAAAUUCACCAAGACGUCACCUUGGAGUUGUUGGGUCCGUUGAGCGGAUUGGAGAGCAAGCUUCCUCAGCUAGUGGGUCCAUGACGAUGACUUCUGUUUUGCUUGAUCGGACGUUUUACUGCCGUGUUACAGACUUUUGGGAACAAUUAAAGAUUCACAAAUUCCUCAGUAAAUUCACCAAGGCUUCACCUUGGAGUUGUUGGGUCCGUUGAGCGGAUUGGAGAGCAAGCUUCCUCAGCUAGUGGGUCCAUGACGAUGACUUCUGUUUUGCUUGAUCGUCCGUUUUACUGCCGUGUUACAGACUUUUGGGAACAAUUAAAGAUUCACAAAUUCCUCAGUAAAUUCACCAAGACGUCACCGUGGAGUUAUUGGGUCCGUUGAGCGCAUUGGAGAGCUGGCUUCCUCAGCUAGUGGGUCCUUGACGAUGACUUCUGUUUUGCUUGAUCGGCCGUUUUACUGCCGUGUUACAGACACUUUUGGGAACAAUUAAAGAUUCACAAAUUCCUCAGUAAAUUCACCAAGACGUCACCGUGGAGUUGUUGGGUCCGUUGAGCGCAUUGGAGAGCAAGCUUCCUCAGCUAGUGGGUCCAUGACGAUGACUUCUGUUUUGCUUGAUAGGCCGUUUUACUGCCGUGUUACAGACACUUUUGGGAACAAUUAAAGAUUCACAAAUUCCUCAGUAAAUUCACCAAGACGUCACCUUCGAGUUGUUGGGUCCGUUGAGCGCAUUGGAGAGCUGGCUUCCUCAGCUAGUGGGUCCAUGACGUUGACUUGUGUUUUGCUUGAUCGG